UGGGGAAUAUUGCACAAUGGGCGCAAGCCUGAUGCAGCCAUGCCGCGUGUGUGAAGAAGGCCUUCGGGUUGUAAAGCACUUUCAGCGGGGAGGAAGGCGUUAAGGUUAAUAACCUUGGCGAUUGACGUUACCCGCAGAAGAAGCACCGGCUAACUCCGUGCCAGCAGCCGCGGUAAUACGGAGGGUGCAAGCGUUAAUCGGAAUUACUGGGCGUAAAGCGCACGCAGGCGGUCUGUCAAGUCGGAUGUGAAAUCCCCGGGCUCAACCUGGGAACUGAAGUCGAAACUGGCAGGCUAGAGUCUUGUAGAGGGGGGUAGAAUUCCAGGUGUAGCGGUGAAAUGCGUAGAGAUCUGGAGGAAUACCGGUGGCGAAGGCGGCCCCCUGGACAAAGACUGACGCUCAGGUGCGAAAGCGUGGGGAGCAAACAGG
rnacentral:rRNA from 1 species